AGAGUUUGAUUCAGGCUCAGAACGAACGCUGGCAGCGUGGAUUAGGCAUGCAAGUCGAACGAGAAGCCCUGGUCUCAAUCUUCGGAGAGAAACCAGGGUGGACAGUGGCGGAAGGGUGAGUAACGCGUGGGCAAUUUGCCUCCGGACUGGGGACAACUCCGCGAAAGCGGGGCUAAUACCGAAUAUGGUCUCCUGUCGCAUGACGGGAAGAUUAAAGAUGGGGAUUCUUCGGAACCUGUCGUCUGGAGAGGAGCCCGCGUACGAUCAGCUUGUUGGUGAGGUAACGGCUCACCAAGGCUUUGACCGUUAGCCGGCCUGAGAGGGUGAUCGGCCACACUGGGACUGAGACACUGCCCAGACUCCUACGGGAGGCUGCAGUCGAGGAUCAUUCGCAAUGCGCGAAAGCGUGACGAUGCGACGCUGCGUGUAGGAUGACGGCCUUCGGGUUGUAAACUACUGUCAUGAGGGAAAAACCAGCGAUGGGACAAUACCCCAUCGCUCUGAUGGUACCUCAAGAGGAAGCCACGGCUAACUCUGUGCCAGCAGCCGCGGUAAUACAGAGGUGGCUAGCGUUGUUCGGAUUUACUGGGCGUAAAGCGUGCGUAGGCGGUUCCGUGUGUCGGGUGUGAAAUCCCACGGCUUACCCGUGGAAUGGCACCCGAAACUGCGGGGCUAGAGUGCAGGAGGGGAGAGCGGAAUUCUUAGUGUAGCGGUGAAAUGCGUUGAUAUUAAGAAGAACACCGGCGGCGAAGGCUCUCUCUGGAAUGUAACUGACGCUGAGGCACGAAAGUUGGGGGAGCAAACAGGAUUAGAUACCCUGGUAGUCCCAACCGUAAACGGUGUGAACUUGGUGUAGGGGGUAUUGACCCCCCCUGUGCCGGAGCUAACGCGUUAAGUUCACCGCCUGGGGAGUACGGCCGCAAGGCUAAAACUCAAAGAAAUUGACGGGGGCCCGCACAAGCGGAGGAGCAUGUGGCUUAAUUCGAUGCAACGCGAAGAACCUUACCUGGGCUUGACAUGGGGACCCUUCGGGGGUGGUAGCGAAAGUUACCUUUACCAUCACAGGUGCUGCAUGGCUGUCGUCAGUUCGUGCCGUGAGGUGUUUGGUUAAGUCCAGCAACGAACGCAACCCUUGUGACUAGUUACCAGCGUCGGUGAUGAGCCGGCAGGCACUCUAGUCAGACUGCCCGUACAAGCGGGAGGAAGGUGGGGAUGACGUCAAGUCAGUAUGGCCCUUACGCCCAGGGCUGCACACGUGCUACAAUGGUCAGUACAGAAGGAUGCAAAACCGCAAGGUCGAGCAAAUCCCCAAAGCUGGCCCCAGUUCGGAUUGGAGUCUGCAACUCGACUCCAUGAAGUCGGAUUCGCUAGUAACGGCGUAUCAGCUACGACGCCGUGAAUACGUUCCCGGGCCUUGUACACACCGCCCGUCACAUCAUGAAAGCCGUCUGCACCCGAAGUCGCUGAGCCAACCCGCAAGGGAGGCAAGUGCCGAAGGUGUGGGUGGUGAUUGGGAUGAAAUCGUAACAAGGUA
rnacentral:rRNA from 1 species